rnacentral:tRNA from 1 species
ACCUGGGUGGCUCAGUCAGUUGAGUGUCUGACUUCGGCUCAGGUCAUGAUCUCACGGUUUGUGGGUUUGAGUCCCAUGUCAGGCU